UGCCCCCCUGCCAAUGGGCAAAGAGACAUCUUGUUGGUGGUGGUGUACUUAUAUCAGUCAGGGUCAGAACAGAUGGCAGCCAUGUGUUCAUCCUAUCUUGAUGCCUGGCUUGGUGGCCAAAGCUGUUUUAUGCCUAGGACACAUAA